GGGAGGAUGGCCGAGUGGUUAAGGCGGUAGAUUUAAGCUCUACUUUCGUAAGAAUCGUGGGUUCGAACCCCACUCCUCUCA
rnacentral:tRNA from 2 species